rnacentral:lncRNA from 1 species
CGGCCACGUCCGCGCUCGUUCAGGUUGUCGAGGUGGCACGCAUGCACGGUGAAAGACCACGACAUCGCUAUCCCCGCGCUUAUCCGUUUCAUCCCGCCGCUUUACAUUGCCAGGAAACUGGCUUGCGCAAAUCAGUGCCGCCGCCGGCCAAUUUACCCACGCCGCCGUCCCUCGUUGCAAUUCCACCCGCCCAAGGGUCCGCCAGCUUCUCCUCAACACCCCACGCCCCUCCGUUUCCCAGCUCCCUGCCGUCAAGCUUCGGUGUGCCGCCGUUUCCGUCCGCCGGCCGCCGUCACCCAAUCCACAAGGUGAGCUUCUAAAUCGACUGAUUCUUCUCAAUUAACGGGUCUAGGGGCAUCCUGCGAGAGUGUGGGAGCUGUUGGGGAAGUCGUGGAAGUCACUUGUGCCGCCAACAUGCGCC